UACGUAGGGUGCGAGCGUUGUCCGGAAUUACUGGGCGUAAAGAGCUCGUAGGUGGUUCGGUAAGUCGGAUGUGAAAUCUCCAGGCUCAACCUGGAGGGGUCAUUCGAUACUGCCGUGACUAGAGGUCGGUAGGGGAGUGUGGAAUUCCUGGUGGAGCGGUGAAAUGCGCAGAUAUCAGGAGGAACACCCGUAGCGAAGGCGGCACUCUGGGCCGAUACUGACACUGAGGAGCGAAAGCGUGGGGAGCGAACAGG
rnacentral:rRNA from 1 species